GAGAGAGAGACAGAAAGAGACAGACAGAGAAAGAGAGAAAAAGAGAGAGACAGAGACAGAAGACAGAGAGAGAGACUCAUGAUGUCAGGAAGCAGUCUGACAUAUAGAAAAUGAUUAUGGACUCUCAAAUGCCAAAAAGGCCAUGGGUGAAAAUAUACAUUUUAAAAUAGAGUACAAUAGAUAUUGCUGGACGAGGAGAGUGAGCAUUUUGGAAGCAUCUGAAGGGAUGGAGGUAAAAUACAGAUAUUUAACAGUGGGACAAGUUUGACAGGUUGAAUAUUUCAUCAUGUUCUAAUACACUUCACCUCCUGCGUCUGGGUUCAAACCCUUGACAUUUGAUAACCUGGAUCAGAUGGGGUUUUUUCAGCAAUGCUAAUCCAAGUU